GACGUAGGGUGCGAGCGUUGUCCGGAUUUAUUGGGCGUAAAGAGCUCGUAGGCGGCUCGUCGCGUCGACCGUGAAAACCCGCGGCUUAACCGCGGGCUUGCGGUUGAUACGGGCGGGCUAGAGUGCAGAAGGGGCAACUGGAAUUCUCGGUGUAGCGGUGAAAUGCGUAGAUAUCGAGAGGAACACCUGCGGCGAAGGCGGGUUGCUGGGCUGACACUGACGCUGAGGCGCGAAAGCUAGGGGAGCGAACGGG
rnacentral:rRNA from 1 species